GUCAAAAAGCUUUAAUACAUCAUUAAAAGUCCUGGGACGUGUGGAAUAAUGACUCUUCUGUAAUAUAAAAUAAAAAAGAAUAAGUUAUCUAUGUAGUUGUAUAAAGAAGGAAAAGUCCUUGAGUUCAAAAUCAACACUGCCAUAUAAGUCAUUCAACAGAUACAAAUUGUUAGCAUGAAUAUGAGCCUAUUCAAUGUGUCAUGGAUAAGAACUCCAACACCAAAAUAUUCACAUUUGCUUAAUUAUUUGGAGCAAAGAUUCUCAUAGCGGUCAGAAGAUAAGGAUGGAUUUCACUGAAAUAGACAGGAAUUAAAUGGAGCUAGUGAUUCAGCUUAAUUUAGCAGAAGGAGAAUUCAUUUUUUUUAAUAAUGAAACAUUUUGCAAAUUGAUUAUCGCUUCCCUGAAGCUCUCUUUCUUUUAUCUAAGUGUGGUGUUUGGAAGCUCAGGGCUGGAUUUUUCUUUCGUUCCCAUCAAACAAAGAUCAAAGCAGAAGUGCGAGUCUAUAUUAAGGACUCUCUUCCGUCAUCACCAAACAGUUGUGUUUUGUAGACCGACCCAUCUCCUCUGCUGUGGUAGAUAUUGUAUCUCAGUAUUGGAUCACUGGAGAACAGAAGGGCUCUCUCACAUGUAGGCGCAGUACAUAAAAACCAAACUCUUCAGCCAGCACUGGCCCCUAGGAACCCUACUGACUCACUUGCCCUUGUGGGCACAAGCCGGAUCCAUUGGGAAUGCUACAGAAUAUGACAUCUGGAUAUCGCAGAGGUCUGCUAAGCUAUUUGGAAGACAACUUGGCUUUUUUUUUUUUUUUUUUUUUUUUUUUUUCUUUUUUAAAUCUUUUUAAGUAUCUGUGUUUCCACAUUUCAUAGUCUGGGACAGGGUAACUGUUCCCAGGAAAAUAAGCCUAUCAUCUGCAUUAGCCAGCACUCAGGUUCAGAAGGCAUCGCAUUAUGGAUCAGCAUCAAUGUAUGAAAGCUGAAGGUCUGAAAUCCUACUCUUGAACCAAAAAUACACAUGGCAAAGAAAAAUAACAUGAAGAAAAGAUGGCAAGAAUUUGGAAGGAAGGAUCCUCCUUAACGCUGCUGUUAUUUUAUAUGUCCUUGAGAGACUUCAGUGGACUAAUUAACCAACUGGAAGAUGUCUAUGUCCCUCAUGGAUGACAGAGCAUGUGUGGAGUGACCAGAUCCCAAAAUAGGGAACUCAUGAGGACAAACCCUCAGGAGCUGCGGUAGUUUCUUCCAGAAGGAAAAAUCAAUACAGUCACUGAUAACAACUUAGAGAUUAAAACCAUGAAAAGCAAAGCAUCUGUUUAGUUUUGUUUUACGUUGUAGGUGUGAAGUAGAACUAUUUGACAUACGUGAUCUGCAGAUAGUCUGGGCUGGUGAAAAUUGUAUUAGCUUCUUGUUUUUCAUAGAUUCAAAAGAAAGAGAGAGUGCUGUGUGUGUGUGAACUCUGCAUCCAGAAGCACCUCCGUCUUUGUAGACUUAGAAUCAUAGAAUAUCCUGAGUUGGAAGGGACCCAUAAAAAUCAUCAGGUCUUGGAUCCACACAGGACCAUCCAAAAAGUCAGUGGGACUCACCUCAUCUGUUUGGGGUCUGCCACAGGGUGCCAGAUGCCGUACUUUUUUCAGCCUCCAGCUGCUCCUAUAAGUCUGGUCCCAGAGUCUGCCACCUGCAUCCAGGCAUGGGGCUCCCUCCCCAUGCAUCCGCCCUACUGCUGCACAGGCCUUGAUCUCUUUGUCUGGAAUGUUUCCAUCACAGACUUGCCAUAAGUGUGUGGAGACUUCCAUAUCUUCUCUUUAAGGCAAAUUUCAGCAAAGCUGGCUUUGGGCAGACUGCCAGGACAGCAUAUUUGGCACUCUUCACAAAGAGUUUAUUCCUGAUCAAAGCUGGUUGUCAGUACAACAGCCUUCACAAGAGCAAAAUGUCAUCUGGGAAAGGAAGUAUGUUAUGUGUGUUUACCUCAAACCAAAGGCUGAGAUUGGAGACAACAGUUUCACUAGGGCUGAGUCCUUUACGCUGUCCUGCAGAAGUCAAUGAGUCUGGAACUCCUCUCUUAUUAACGCUGAGUCAGUGUUGAGGCCUGGAGGGCAACAACUCUGAUCUGGUGCAGGCCUAUCCCCUGGCUGCAGGAGGGUACCAGAUCUGACAAACUACACAUGGC
ensembl:lncRNA